GAGACAUCGAACUUUGUGACGGCGCCAUGGACACGCCCUUUAACGAAAACUCAAGAUCUUCACAAUUUAACAUCGCACAGGCCUUUAGAAUAGAGUGACUGAAAAAAAAACAUUUAUGUCAUAAAAUUUCUCGGGGUAGUUUGUUACAGUGUAAAAUAUGUCACUUCCUGUUGCCAGUAGGUGGCGCUAUGACUAUAACUGAAUAUGGGCAUAUCAAUCUGUUCAGGUCAGGAGUCUUAUCAAACAUGUGAAGUUUGUGGCAGAUUGGACAUUGUAUGUCUGAGUUAUAGCAACUUCAUUUUUCAUGGCGAAUCAUCGAAAUUCGUCAGGCCGCCACGGACACGCCCUUCAACGAAAACUCAAGAUCUUCGCAAUUUAACAUCGCAAAGGCCUUUAGAUUAGGCAUACCAAAUUUGGUGUUGAUCUGAAUAAAUCUCUAGGAGGAGUUCG
ensembl:lncRNA